CUCGUCUUUCAAGGCAUGACUCCACGCAAAGCCUUCAGCCGACAACGCCAAUGCCAUAUCCAUUUCAUACCUAACAAUCUCCUCUAUUUCAUGUUCAUGUCAAAACCGACUUUGAAAUAUGGACUCCAGCCCACAAGAUAAUUGGAGUGAUAAAGAAAUUGAAGGAAUAGGACAAAAUAAAGAGCUGAUUACGGAAGGUGGAGGUAACACAGUUUUUCUUCUUCCAGGUGGUGAGUCCUCCGAUAAAGGCAAGGGAAUU